CCAGACGGUCGGGCGAUCGCCCCACCACAUGAGGUCAAUAAAACAACACAUUGAUUUUUAUUGAUUUCAUGCGGUGGGGAGGAAAGUCCGGGCUUCAGGGGAAAAGGGUGCCGGAUAACGUCCGGUUGGGGCGACUCAAAGGAAAGUGCCACAGAAAAAAGACUACCUGCCUCACGGCGGGAAAAGGUGAAAAGGUGCGGUAAGAGCGCACCGCGUUCCCGGCAACGGGAACGGCAUGGAAAACCCCACCCGAAGCAAAACCGAAUAGGAAUCACAUGGCGCAAAUCUGGGCUUCGGCCCAUAGAUGCGCGGCGCAUUCCCCGCGCGUGGUUCGGGUAGGUUGCUCGAGGCGUUCGGCGACGAACGUCCCAGAUGAAUGAUCGUCCGCCGCAAGGAUUGCGGUCGACAGAACCCGGCUUACAGGCCGUCUGGCGCU
rnacentral:RNase_P_RNA from 1 species